UACGUAGGGAGCAAGCGUUGUCCGGAAUCAUUGGGCGUAAAGCGCGCGUAGGCGGCCCCGUAAGUCCGCUGUGAAAGUCAAAGGCUCAACCUUUGAAAGCCGGUGGAUACUGUGGGGCUAGAGUCCGGAAGAGGCGAGUGGAAUUCCUGGUGUAGCGGUGGAAUGCGUAGAUAUCGUAAGGAAGACCAGUGGCGAAGGCGGGUCUCUGGACAGUUCCUGACGCUGAGGCACGAAGGUCAGGGGAGCAAACGGG
rnacentral:rRNA from 1 species